UAGUUCCGGGCGGUAUGCUUCCGGUUGGUCCGGAAGCGUCGCCAUGGCAGGUACAGGGAGCCGCUCCGCCUGGAGUCCCGCCUCCGCGGCGUCAGGGACUUACCUGGGCGACUAGUGUUCUAGCCCCCGGCGAACCGGACGGUGCUGUCCUGGGCCUGGACCACCCUCCCUGCCGCCGCUGCCGAACUCCGGAAGGCCUGGGUAGGUCGCGACCCCGUGAGCCUCAGUUUGCCCGUCUGUGAAAUGGGGGCUCGCGGUGGCUGCCCUGAGCAACGCGACCUUGACGAAAUCUGAUAGUUCUCCGCGUCCCAUACGCAGAGGGUGAAGCUUUAGGGGAGCCCAAAUCACCGCCGACCCGUGUUGUGCAGUUUCCUGGAGGGAGCGUUCGUCGCGAGGCGCUGAAGACUAGAGCGGGGCACGCGGGGAACGAAGUCUCUGCCUGGCGGCUCCUACUCAAGCCGCUCGUCAAGGGCGUGGACCGGGAUGACGAAAGGGCGCGCCACCCAGCACGGGGGGCUCCCCGGGCCACCCCCGAGCCUACAGCGCCAGCCGGAGCGCCACCCAGCACGGGGGGCUCCCCGGGCCACCCCCGAGCCUACAGCGCCAGCCGGAGCCGGAAUCCCCAAGCCCGUUGGCGGCUCUCGGGGACCCUGCCGGAGCCUCCUUCCCGCCGCAGUUUGAAGAUUAACUCAUCUUCACCAGCGAGGAGCCCAGGAGUCAUUAAGUUCGACAUUCUGUGGGAUCGUGAGUCCUCCACGUGGAAGUCAGCACGCCUCUCCGCGGUCAGUGGCCAUGCAGAAGCUUCCGCUUGCACAGCUCUUCCUUGCUGCCUUUGCCACCAGCUCAGCAUUCAGCCUCGUUUCUCUCGUCCCAGGGACCUAAUGGUAGAGUUGCCUUGGCCAGAACCUCCAUUACAAUGUUGAAUAGAAGUGGUGCGAUCAGACAUCCUCACCUUGUUCUAAUCUUCAGGGCUGCAUCCUGGUUUUGUCAGUUGUGUUUACGUCCUGAACAUCUAUAGAUGGAGACAUUUUUACUUCUCACAAAUGAGGGACACAUCAACCCACGAUGCUCACAUCUCUGGCUUGGAGAGCCAGUCUUGCUCCACCAGAGUCCCCAGAUGAGGCAUUUGCUUUCUGGCACAGCUGCUGAGGCCUAUACAGCUGGCUUUUAAGAAGCAAGUGUGUGGGGCGCCUGCAUGGCUCAGUUGGUUAAGUGACUGCCUUCGGCUCAGGUCAUGAUCCCAGGGUUCUGGGAUCAAGCCCUGCAUCGGCCUCCUGCUCAGCGGGAAGCCUGCUUCUCCCUUU